rnacentral:rRNA from 1 species
CGUGUAGGCGGCCAGACAGGUCCGUUGUGAAAACUGGAGGCUUAACCUCCAGACGUCGAUGGAAACCGUCUGGCUAGAGUCCGGAAGAGGAGAGUGGAAUUCCUGGUGUAGCGGUGAAAUGUGCAGAUAUCAGGAAGAACACCCGUGGCUAAGGCGGCUCUCUAGUACGGUACUGACGCUGAGACGCGAAAGCGUGGGGAGCGAACA